UCGGUUUAUGUAAUCACGUGAUUAGUUCACCUUAGCUGUAUCUAUAAUGAGUUCUUCAAGUAAGAGAGGAGAUUCGCCUCUAAUAAAAACUCUCAAUAUUUGCUCAAAUAAAAAAAGUAUUACGCUCGGAGAUGUAUGGAGUUCUUUAAAUAAUAUUCAGUCUUCACAUGACGCUAGUUUUAAGGAUGUCAAUAAUCAGUUAUAUUUAUUAGAAACUUCACUUAAGACCGCUUUUAAUAACAUAUCUAAUGUGCUUGCUCAAAUUAAAUCUGACAUAGACGCACUACAGGCAUAUAUGGAUGAGCUGAAAAUUCGUUUGGAUCACCUUGAAAAACGACCUCAUGCUGCUUUGCAUCCUGAUAAUGAUGUGACACAAAAGGCCAAAGACAGGCUAACUAGAUCUAACAGAGUGUUAGCUUUCAAUGUGGUCGACACUUCUACUGACUCAGGUAAUGAACUAAUUAGUACAGCUAAAAAUGUAUUUCAUGAUUUGGAUCUUAAUACGACGGUUGUUAACUGUAAAUCGAUGACAAAACCCCGUCCCAUUUUGGUCCAACUUCAGUCCUCUUCUGACGUCAUUGAUGGGGUUCAAAGUAAAUCAAACCUUAGACAAUUAGACAGUCGGCGUUCUAUUUGGAUUGGAGAAGAUUUAACUCUCGCUCAACGUCGUGUUAUACAUAACCUGAGAUGUGAGUUAAAACGUCUACGGGAUUCUGGUGAUAAUGGCUGGUUGAUCAAAUACAACAGAGGAAUUCCGUCGUUAGUUAAAAAAAACUAAUUAAUCACCGCAAGAGAUGAUCAAAAGUAUAUUUGCCUAUUUUAUUAAAAGAGGACAUCGUAAAUUAAAGAUAUUGUACAAUACAACCUGUUUAGACGCCUAUGCGACUGGUGUUCAAUUAAUGGUCCGAUGAUAAAUGUAUUCGUAUUUCGUUA